GCGGCGUGCUUCAUACAUGCAAGUCGAACGAGAAGCAGGAGCUUGCUCCUGUGGAAAGUGGCGGACGGGUGAGUAACACGUAGGAAACCUGCCUUUGGGUGGGGGACAACAGUUGGAAACGACUGCUAAUACCCCAUAUGAGCUCGGUUGCAAUACCAAUCUUGAAAACUCCGGUGCCUAAAGAUGAGCCUGCGUCUGAUUAGCUUGUUGGCGGGGUAAUGGCCCACCAAGGCGACGAUCAGUAGCUGGUUUGAGAGGAUGAGCAGCCACAAUGGGACUGAGACACGGCCCAUACUCCUACGGGAGGCAGCAGUAGGGAAUUUUGCGCAAUGGGGGAAACCCUGACGCAGCAACGCCGCGUGAAUGACGAAGCCCUUCGGGGUGUAAAGUUCUGUCAGUAGGGAAGAAUUUUGGCUGUACCUACAAAGGAAGCACCGGCUAACUCCGUGCCAGCAGCCGCCGUAA
rnacentral:rRNA from 1 species